CCUACGGGAGGCAGCAGUGAGGAAUAUUGGUCAAUGGACGAGAGUCUGAACCAGCCAAGUAGCGUGAAGGAUGAAUGUCCUAUGGGUUGUAAACUUCUUUUAUAAAGGAAUAAAACGAGGCACGUGUGCCUUUUUGCAUGUACUUUAUGAAUAAGCAUCGGCUAACUCCGUGCCAGCAGCCGCGGUAAUACGGAGGAUCCGAGCGUUAUCCGGAUUUAUUGGGUUUAAAGGGAGCGUAGAUGGGGUGUUAAGUCAGUUGUGAAAGUUUGCGGCUCAACCGUAAAAUUGCAAUUGAUACUGGCAGUCUGGAGUACGGUUGAGGUAGGCGGAAUUCGUGGUGUAGCGGUGAAAUGCUUAGAUAUCGCGAAGAACCCCGAUUGCGAAGGCAGCUUACUAAACUGUGACUGACAUUGAUGCUCGAAAGUGUGGGUAUCAAACAGGAUUAGAUACCCCUGUAGUC
rnacentral:rRNA from 1 species